CCUCCUGGAAAGGUCAAUUUAAGCAAGAAAUAAUUAAAGAAGAGCUUCGAAGCGGAGCGCUCAGAGGCCAGGAAAAGGGCAAAAGGAGCGGAGAGAAAAAGGGAGAAAUGGAAAAAAGGGAAAAGUGACGAAACGGGGAAUCGCGACAGAAAAGGAAAAAGAGCGGAAAUGUAAAAGCGCAAAAAGAAAUCGAAGGAAAAAUGAAAGCGGAAAAGGUUGAAAAGGGAGGGGAAAGGAAAAAACAGAAAAGGGGAAAAAAUGGAAAAUGGCAAAAAAUGAAUUAAAUGGGAAAACAACCCCCCAAAGGACCCCAAACCGCCCCCACCUCGUCCUUUGCCUGCAGGAGGAACUCGCUGCCGUCCGCCGUCCUAUAGAACAGUGGGUCGCUGGCCACCUCGCUGGUAGCCAUGUGUAGGCCGAGGGGGGGCUCCCCGUUGUGUGUCCCCCCCCCAGACGGACCCUUUGCGUCCCUAUAGAACGCCAACUCCCCCCGGCUCAGCACGCAGUACAGG
rnacentral:lncRNA from 1 species